rnacentral:rRNA from 1 species
AUUGAACGCUGGCGGAAUGCUUUACACAUGCAAGUCGAACGGCAGCACGGACUUCGGUCUGGUGGCGAGUGGCGAACGGGUGAGUAAUAUAUCGGAACGUGCCCAGUCGUGGGGGAUAACGUAGUGAAAAUUACGCUAAUACCGCAUACGAUCUAAGGAUGAAAGCGGGGGAUCGCAAGACCUCGCGCGAUUGGAGCGGCCGAUAUCAGAUUAGGUAGUUGGUGAGGUAAAGGCUCACCAAGCCAACGAUCUGUAGCUGGUCUGAGAGGACGACCAGCCACACUGGAACUGAGACACGGUCCAGACUCCUACGGGAGGCAGCAGUGGGGAAUUUUGGACAAUGGACGCAAGUCUGAUCCAGCCAUUCCGCGUGCAGGACGAAGGCCUUCGGUUGUAAACUGCUUUGUACAGAACGAAAAGGUCUCUAUUAAUACUAGGGCUCAUGACGGUACUGUAAGAAUAAGCACCGGCUAACUACGUGCC